rnacentral:rRNA from 1 species
AGGACGAACGCUGGCGGCGUGCUUAACACAUGCAAGUCGAACGGAAAGGCCCGCUUGCGGGUACUCGAGUGGCGAACGGGUGAGUAACACGUGGGCAACCUGCCCUCAGCUCUGGGAUAACUCCGGGAAACCGGUGCUAAUACUGGAUAUCGACUUCUGCCUCGCAUGGGGUGUUGUUGAAAGUUUUUCGGCUGGGGAUGGGCCCGCGGCCUAUCAGCUUGUUGGUGGGGUGAUGGCCUACCAAGGCGACGACGGGUAGCCGGGCCUGAGAGGGCGACCGGCCACACUGGGACUGAGACAUGGCCCAGACUCCUACGGGAGGCAGCAGUGGGGAAUAUUGCGCAAUGGGCGGAAGCCUGACGCAGCGACGCCGCGUGAGGGAUGACGGCCUUCGGGUUGUAACCGUCUUUCAGCUCUGACGAGCGAGAGUGACGGUAGGAGCGAGAAGAAGCACCGGCCAACUACGUGCCAGCAGCCGCGU